GUUAAUCAUUUCCUGUGGAAAGUGUGCGGGAGGGGCGGGAGCGGGGCGGGCCGAGGAGGCGGCGGCGUGGAGCUGCCUCCCGCCGGCGGGCCGGGUCGGGCCGAGCCCCGGGCUCUGCGGCGACGCCGGGGAUCCUGCCUCCGCCAGGCCGGCCGCCCGGCGCCCCGAGGAGGCCGCUGAGCCCCGGGCCAUGGUCCCGUCUCGCCGGCCGUGGAACCUGGGAGCCACGCCCUCGCUGCGCGGCCUGUGGAGAGUGGGCCGGGCCGGGGAGCCCGAGCCGGGGAUGGCUCGCCCCGCCCCCGCCAGCCCGGCCGCCCGCCCUUUCCCAUACACCGGCCCGGGGAGGUUGAGAACUGGGCGUGGAAAAGACACCCCGGUCAGCAGUGACGAGGACUCCGGUGCCCGAAGUGCAGCUCGCCCGGCCCUCGCUCAGUGCCGAGCCCUCAGCGUGGACUGGGCUGGCCCUGGGAGCCCCCACAGGCUCUACCUGACCGUGCAGCAAGCCCUCCUGGACAAGGGGUGCGAGAACAAGAGUCAGGGGACGAAAGAGGAGAAGCUCCCGAAGAGGCAGGCGCCGGCCCCCAGGCGGGACCGGGAGGCCCAGGAAGCUGGUGGCACCAUGAAUGUAGAGAAAACAGGUGGGCGGCUCUUUGGCAGCGGGAGGUGCUCGAGCCUGGCGGGGCGGCCGGGUGCGGCCCCCAUGGUACAUAGGAUGGUGGUGACCAUGUCCCAGCUGCAGGAAGAGAAAGCCCGGCUGCAGGAGGGGCUGGCCCUCCAAGACAGUGACCAGCAAGCCGCAUCCAACCAGCUGCAGAACCAGGUGGAAAACCUGAAGGAGAAGCUCAUUAGCCAGGCCCAGGAAGUGAGCCGCCUUCGAUCAGAGCUGGUCUGCCCUGGCCACAUGCGCCCCCUGUGCCCUGGCUCUCUGCAGGGGGGCACAGACUUGGAGAAGCACCGCGACCUGCUGGUGGUGGAGAAUGAGCGGCUGAGGCAGGAGAUGCGGCGCUUCGAGGCCGAGGUGCAAGAGCUGCGGGCCAAGGCGGCGGCCCCCUGCGCGGGCUGUGAGCACAGCCAGGAGAGCGCCCAGCUCCGGGACAAGCUGUCGCAACUACAGCUGGAGGUGGCCGAGAACAAGGGCAUGCUGUCCGAGCUGAACCUGGAGGUGCAGCAGAAGACCGACCGGCUGGCCGAGGUCGAGCUGAGGCUCAAGGACUGCCUGGCCGAGAAGGCGCAGGAGGAGGAGCGGCUGAGCCGGCGCCUGCGGGACAGCCACGAGACCAUCGCCAGCCUGCGGGCCCAGUCGCCGCCCAUCAAGUACGUCAUCAGGACCGUGGAGGUGGAGUCGUCCAAGGCCAAGCAGGCCCUCAGCGAGUCCCAGGCCCGGAACCAGCACCUGCAGGAGCAGGUGGCCAUGCAGAGGCAGGUGCUGAAGGAGAUGGAACAGCAGCUGCACAGCUCACACCAGUUGACGGCGCAGCUCCGGGCGCAGAUCGCCAUGUACGAGUCAGAGCUGGAGCGGGCGCACGGGCAGAUGCUGGAGGAGAUGCAGUCCCUGGAGGAAGACAAGAACCGGGCCAUCGAGGAGGCCUUUGCCAGAGCCCAGGUAGAGAUGAAGGCUGUGCACGAGAACCUGGCAGGGGUCCGGACCAAUCUGCUGACGCUGCAGCCGGCGCUGCGGACCCUCACCAACGACUACAAUGGGCUCAAGCGGCAGGUGCGCGGCUUCCCCCUGCUCCUGCAGGAGGCCCUCAAGAGCGUCAAGGCCGAGAUCGGCCAGGCCAUCGAGGAGGUCAACAGCCACAACCAGGAGCUCCUGCGCAAGUACCGCCGGGAGCUGCAGCUGCGUAAGAAGUGCCACAAUGAGCUCGUGCGGCUGAAAGGGAACAUCAGGGUGAUUGCUCGUGUCCGGCCAGUCACCAAAGAGGACGGGGAAGGACCCGAUGCGACCAAUGCUGUGACCUUCGAUGCCGACGACGACUCCAUCAUCCACCUGCUGCACAAAGGAAAGCCUGUAUCCUUUGAGCUGGACAAGGUCUUCUCCCCGCGGGCCUCACAGCAGGACGUGUUCCAGGAGGUGCAAGCCCUGAUCACCUCCUGCAUCGACGGCUUCAACGUCUGUAUCUUCGCCUACGGCCAGACGGGUGCCGGCAAGACGUACACGAUGGAGGGGACCCCCGAGAACCCCGGCAUCAACCAGCGGGCCCUACAGCUGCUCUUCUCCGAGGUGCAGGAGAAGGCGUCGGCCUGGGAGUACACCAUUACGGUCAGCGCGGCCGAGAUCUACAACGAGGCCCUCAGGGACCUGCUGGGGCAGGAGCCCCAGGAGAAGCUGGAGAUCCGGCUCUGCCCGGACGGCAGCGGGCAGCUGUACGUGCCGGGGCUGACCGAGUUCCAGGUGCAGAGCGUGGACGACAUCAACAAGGUGUUUGAGUUCGGCCACACUAACCGCACGACGGAGUUCACCAACCUGAACGAGCACAGCUCCCGCUCGCACGCCCUGCUCAUCGUGACAGUGCGCGGAGUGGACUGCAGCACUGGCCUCCGCACCACGGGGAAGCUGAACCUGGUGGACCUGGCGGGCUCGGAGCGCGUGGGCAAGUCGGGGGCCGAGGGCAGCCGCCUGCGGGAGGCCCAGCACAUCAACAGGUCGCUGUCAGCCCUGGGGGAUGUCAUUGCUGCCCUGCGCUCCCGCCAGGGCCACGUGCCCUUCCGCAACUCCAAGCUCACCUACCUGCUGCAGGACUCGCUCAGCGGGGACAGCAAGACGCUCAUGGUGGUGCAGGUGUCCCCCGUGGAGAAGAACACCAGCGAGACGCUAUACUCCCUGAAGUUUGCUGAGAGGGUGCGCUCUGUGGAGCUGGGCCCUGGGUCCCGCAGGGCAGAGCUCGGGUCCUGGUCCAGCCAGGAGCAUCUGGAGUGGGAGCCAGCUUGCCAGACCCCACAGCCCUCAGCACGAGCACACUCAGCCCCCGGCUCUGGGACCACCAGCCGCCCAGGCUCAAUCCGGAGGAAGCUGCAGCCCUUGGAGGGGCCUGGCCAGGGCUGGAUCCGAGGAGGCAGGGGCCUUAGGGUCCCGGGGAGUCCUGGCCCCAGGAAAGCCCACCAGUGAGACACCUGUCGCUUUGAUUUCAGCCUGACGGCUGGGGCUGCAGUCUCCAGGGAAGUCCAGGCCGGUGCCUGUGUGACAGACGUGGCCCCCCUGCCAGCCCGGGGACGGGGGCCUGAGGCCUUGCCGGGCUGCUCCUGCUGUAGCAACAGGAGCCCAGGAGCUGCAGGCCAGAGCGGAGGCAGCCCUUCUGCCUCGUAUCUGCUCAGAGAUGAGAAAACCUGGUCAGAAGGAAAUGGUGUCUCCUGGCAGUGGCUGUGGGUGCAAAAGGCAUGGGCUGGAAGGGCAGGGAUGGCCCACUCCGCCUGGCAGGCCAGGCCUCUCCCAGCCUCUCCCCAGGCCUGGCCCUGUCUCUAAUGGGUGGGCUGAGGAGCCCCCCCGGAAGGCACAGGGACCAUGGGAUCUGGGCAGUUGGUGGGCAUCCUGGAGCAGCCCUGGCCCCACUCCCCUCCAAGGCAGGCCCCCGUGCUCGGUUUGUAUAUAGUAUUCCUAGGUGUACAUAGGAGGCCGGGCUAUAUUUAUGGCUGGCGGGAGGCCAGUGGGCAGGGAUUCUGCUGUUCCCCUCGUCAGCCUGCCACCAGGCUCUCUCCUUGCUCACUGGCCUCUUGCCAUUUUCCCCCUCUGAAAUCCUAUUUAAGAACUUUUGGAAGCUUAGCCAUUUUUACUUAUUAAAAUAAAAACCUUUUUACACAA